CCUUAGUGAGAAUGAACUGAAGGGUGACAGCAAAACUUUUGUUAUGAACUCCCAUUACCUUUAGACCCUUGCUAAUCGAAGUGUGAUCCAUGGACCAACCAUAGCAGCAUCACCCGGGAGCUUGUUGGAAACAUCGCGUCUCAAGCUCUGCCUCAGACAUGCUGAACCGGAAUCUGCAAACAGAUACAGUUAUAGCCUUGCUUUCCAUCGUUUCAGAAAACAGGAUGCUGGUCGAUAAAAAUUCCAGUUGAGAUAUAUCUGUACCUCUGUAUUUGAGAAGGUCGGUGAACUGUAUUCCUAGUGCCUAGAGCAGUGCCUGGCACGUGGUAUGUGCUGAAUGCAUAUUUUAUGAAUGAUGAAUUACAUGCUGCCAUUUUUGGUGAGUACACACCAUUACUGAUCUAAUGGUAUAGAAUUUUAAGCAUAAAAGGAGAUUAUAAUUUUUCCUCUUAAUUCAACUACCCCUUUUUACAAUCGUGCAAGCC